rnacentral:lncRNA from 1 species
CCCUCCAGGGUUUUAAGUCGGUAGGCGCCCGACCUGCAGGUGUCUGUAAUCUUGUAGGGUCCUUCCCAGUUUGGGGACAGUUUUUCUUGAUCCUGAGGCUUCGAGACUUCCGCCUUCAUCAAAACGAGGUCUCUGGGUCUGAAAGAUUUUGGUCUAACUUUAGCGUUGUAGUAUCGGGCCACUCUUUGUCGGUAGGAAGCCAUGUGGAGUUGAGCCUCGCAUCGAAGCUCGGAUAGGAGGUCCAAGUCAGCUCUCCGAUACUCGAAGUUGCCCGAUUUAUAGUAUUGCGCAACUCUAGUCGAUGGUAGCCCGAUCUCUAGUGGGAUCAUUGCUUCUGUCCCAUAGUCC